CCUUUAUAUUCGGCCCCGGGGAGGCAAGCGCCAAGCUUGCCCAUUGCGGGCAGAGGGAUCCUCCUCCGAUCGCCACCGUCCGAAGGCUCAGAAGACGUCUGCGGAGCGCCUGGAGAGAGUGCCCGGAGGAGGUGCCCGGAGAAGCGUCGCCCUACCGCGGAGGCAGCCUCGGAGAACUCGGAGCGAGGAAAAGGGAGUAAAACAGGGAGCUUCCUGGCACUGUUCAGUGUCAGAGCAGCCAAAGCUGUCUUGUUUUGUGAUCGAGUUAAAACUUGGUUUACUCGCUAUUGAGUAAAACACUCCCUAAGCACUAAGGACUGCAAUCUGCAGUGACAAGCUGACCCCGAGAUGUAAUUUUGGGUGGGUUUUUCCUUGGUUUGAGGGGUUUUGGCUUUUUUAUCUCCCGAGUGUAUGCCCUAGGAACGCAGGGGAAAUUGGCGAGCCCUUGCAGCCUGCGGCAGGUGCUUAAGGAGUGAUCGCCUGAAGAUUCGUUCUUUGGAGAAAUGCUUGCCCUGUGCAAGGAUGCAUUUUCCAAAGGAGACUCUCCUGUGCCGUGCAACCUCUCGUGAGAGAGUUGGGACAGGUGGAGCUGGUCCAAAUUAGCUCUCACACGUUUACACAAAGCAUUGCAAUCACAGAACCACAGAGUUAGCCAGGCUGCAAUAAAACCUGUUAGAUUGAGUCCAGCCUCUCACCCGACACUUUCUAAUAAACUAGACCAUGGCACUAA